GUAGGUGAACCUGCGGAAGGAUCAUUAUUGAAUGAACUUGACAUGGUUGCUGCUGGUCUUUUCGGAGGCAUGUGCACACCUUGUCAUCUUUAUAUCUCCACCUGUGCACCUUUUGUAGACCUGGAUUCAACUUUCCGAGGCAACUCGGCCGUGAGGAACUGCUUUAACGAGCUUUCCUUGAAGUUUCCAGGCCUAUGUUUUCAUAUACACCAUAAGAAUGUAACAGAAUGUCAUUAUUAGGCUUUAUUGU
rnacentral:misc_RNA from 1 species